AGUAUCUUUAAAGAAGUAGAAUCUUUUUUCCUGUCAGAUCAACCAUGUUGAUCUCACUUUCUCUAAGCCAGUUUGUCUGACAUGCU
rnacentral:snoRNA from 1 species